GACGAACGCUGGCGGCGUGCCUAAUACAUGCAAGUAGAACGCACAGUUUAUACCGUAGCUUGCUACACCAUAGACUGUGAGUUGCGAACGGGUGAGUAACGCGUAGGUAACCUGCCUGGUAGCGGGGGAUAACUAUUGGAAACGAUAGCUAAUACCGCAUAAUAUUAAUUAUUGCAUGAUAAUUAAUUGAAAGGUGCAAUUGCACCACUACCAGAUGGACCUGCGUUGUAUUAGCUAGUAGGUGAGGUAACGGCUCACCUAGGCGACGAUACAUAGCCGACCUGAGAGGGUGAUCGGCCACACUGGGACUGAGACACGGCCCAGACUCCUACGGGAGGCAGCAGUAGGGAAUCUUCGGCAAUGGACGAAAGUCUGACCGAGCAACGCCGCGUGAGUGAAGAAGGUUUUCGGAUCGUAAAAGCUCUG
rnacentral:rRNA from 1 species